UCUUGAGCGUCAAAUACUGGAGACGAACCGAGGAUUGAGCGGAUGAAGACGCUUCGUUCGAAAACGGCUCUGGCCUCUUUGGCCCUCGACGGCCCUGGAAUGGAUGGAGGUAAUUCUUUAGCAAGCCCUAAAAUCAUCGGUGAAUGUAAUCCUCACUAACGUGGUACUGUUAUGGCUUGUUUGGAGAAAAAAUCCUGUCCGAGGACAUCAUCCACUUGGAAACACCUUAAUUGAAGAAGGGAAAGAAGUGCCAAGAUUUGUUUACCUUACUGGACAAUCGUCUUUAUCCGGAUCAAUUCAAGAGGCCUCUUUCCGAGAAGAUCAUGAUGAAUUAUCCUUGCGCAUGAAAAACAGCCUUUUUUCCACGGACUUGUCGAAUUAGUGAUUGCAACUCCGCUUUCCUGAAUUACUGUGCACAAGAUAAGACGUCAACGUUGAGGAGAGGAGACCAGAACUGAGGAGAGAGCAGUAGUUCGUUGGAGAGGCUUCUCACCAAAGGACAGCGAGUCAAGUACUUGUUAUUAGCAAU